rnacentral:rRNA from 1 species
GACGAACGCUGGCGGCGUGCUUAACACAUGCAAGUCGAACGGAAAGGCCCUGCUUGCAGGGUACUCGAGUGGCGAACGGGUGAGUAACACGUGGGUGAUCUGCCCUGCACUUCGGGAUAAGCCUGGGAAACUGGGUCUAAUACCGGAUAGGAGCCAUUUUUAGUGUGAUGGUUGGAAAGUUUUUUCGGUGUAGGAUGAGCUCACGGCCUAUCAGCUUGUUGGUGGGGUAAUGGCCUACCAAGGCGGCGACGGGUAGCCGGCCUGAGAGGGUGGACGGCCACAUUGGGACUGAGAGACGGCCCAGACUCCUACGGGAGGCAGCAGUGGGGAAUAUUGCACAAUGGGCGCAAGCCUGAUGCAGCGACGCCGCGUGGGGGAUGACGGCCUUCGGGUUGGAAACUCCUUUCGCUAGGGACGAAGCUUUUUGUGACGGUACCUAGAUAAGAAGCACCGGCUAACUACGUG